ensembl:snRNA U6 U6 spliceosomal RNA
AUACUCCCUUCAGCAGCACAUAUACUGAAAUUGGAAUGAUACAGAGAAGAUCAGCGUGGCCCCUGCACAAGGAUGAUGUGCAAAUGCAUGAAGCGUUUCAUAUCUUU